rnacentral:rRNA from 1 species
GAUGAACGCUGGCGGCGUGCCUAACACAUGCAAGUCGAGCGAAGCACUUUGCUUAGAUUCUUCGGAUGAAGAGGAUUGUGACUGAGCGGCGGACGGGUGAGUAACGCGUGGGUAACCUGCCUCAUACAGGGGGAUAACAGUUAGAAAUGACUGCUAAUACCGCAUAAGACCACAGCACCGCAUGGUGCGGGGGUAAAAACUCCGGUGGUAUGAGAUGGACCCGCGUCUGAUUAGCUAGUUGGUAAGGUAACGGCUUACCAAGGCGACGAUCAGUAGCCGACCUGAGAGGGUGACCGGCCACAUUGGGACUGAGACACGGCCCAAACUCCUACGGGAGGCAGCAGUGGGGAAUAUUGCACAAUGGGGGAAACCCUGAUGCAGCGACGCCGCGUGAGCGAAGAAGUAUUUCGGUAUGUAAAGCUCUAUCAGCAGGGAAGAAAAUGACGGUACCUGACUAAGAAGCACCGGCUAAAUACGUG